rnacentral:lncRNA from 1 species
ACACUUGUUCCCCAUUGCUCCUCUAUUUCCUUUGGUUUGUAGCUUCUCAUCCAUAUGAUAUUCUCCCUUGUCCUUGGCCCCAUUACAACCAUGGAAAGACCUUUUGAUUUGAACAUGCAUGUGUGCUUGAGUGUUGAUAUUAGAGGCUUGCCAAGUCUAUUUGUGUUUGCUUUCUUGAGUGCAUCGAGUGACAUUGAUUUACCUUAAACACUUGAGAGAAACACCGAUUUUGUGCAUCUGUGAGGC